UCCUACACGGAAGCAUGUUGAAAGAACUGGUUUCCAAUAGACCACCAAAGUUAAGCAACGUUGGGUAUGUUUGGUCUUUAGAUAUGUGACCAUUUGGACAACCACAUGUUGCUGGCU
rfam:Asian citrus Psyllid, Diaphorina citri - Florida Strain, whole genome shotgun sequence.